GAUCCGAGGCUCCUCCACGCCAUUUUCUCCUUUGAAGUAGUCAUUUAUAAAUUCUUCUCCCAUGCCUUUUAUAACACUCAUACGACGCAUUUCUAGUCCCACCUGUCUUAACAUUUUGUGAUCUAUUUCUUAGUUACUUUAUUGGAAUUUGGAAGUUCCUCACUAAAAAACAUUCCUAAGUGAUCAGGGUUGACUCUCAAUGAAUCGAAUGAUAA
rnacentral:lncRNA from 1 species